GGUCAUUCUUAAUGUUUGCUUAGCCUCUUGUACUCUGACUUAGUAUUGUGAGUACUAAACCUUAGCCAUAGUAUUAAACCUCCUACUAUUUUUUUUCAUAGUUCCAGAACAAAUAAUUAUUUGCAUUCCUAUUUGAUAGUUCCUAAGAAUCUGGGCGUUGCCAGAUCAUCUUUGAGACAAUUCUGAUUGGCCCCACUAAGAGCAAGCCGCUGUGUAAAAAUAGCAACUGCAGGGAGAUAUUCCCAAGACAAAGUCAGAGCUGCCAAUCAAGUCCAGCCCUGGGCAUCCACUCCACUUCCACAAGAAUUGGCAAGUAACAAACCAAGCAAGAAUUUCAAUGGAAAAUUACAGAGAUACUAACAGGUUUGAGUACUUAUAAAUACAAAAUAAAUAAACGGAGUUAAAUUACUUUAUUAUUACAAUGCAGAAAUGAGGAAGUGUAAUAGCCAGCUAGUCUUGGAAUAUGGCACUGUGAAUGUAAGUACAAUCCAAUAAGAACAGUCAUGAGUUUCAAACAGCAAUUGGGCUCACAUUGCAUUUUCUCCAUAAAAAUUAUUAAAG
ensembl:lincRNA